AUUCUUUUCCUAUUCCUUUUAAUAUUUUCUUUGCAGAAUAAACUAUGAUGCCAAAUUCCGUCUAAGAGAAGAAGGAAACGAACCUUAGGAGGACUGAGUUAUGGUAAAUGAUAACAAUUCUGACCAAGAGGAAGAGGAUGUGGAUUAGAAGAUGGACCAGAAGUGGACUAAGUUAUGGUAAAUGGUAGUAAAAAAUAAUUAUUUCUAUAAGUAAAUGAAUAUUUUUAAUCAGUUUAUUGUUUCAUAUAACCAUUCCGUCCAAGAGGAGAGGAAAGUGGAUUAGAAGAUGACUAGAAGAGGACAGAGUAAUGGUAAACGAUGCCAUGGAUCAACCAAAAAUUAUAUGCAUUUAUUUUU
rnacentral:lncRNA from 1 species